UCCGAGUUGACCCCGGCAGUCUCCACAGAGUCCUCGGCUUUACCCGUUAGUAACUGUGAACAAGGGUUGCGCUCGUUGCGGGACUUAACCCAACAUCUCGCGACACGAGCUGACGACAGCCAUGCAGCACCUCUAUACAGACCUCCGAAGAGGGGCUCUCAUCUCUGAGACUUUCCUGUACAGUUCAAACCCAGGUAAGGUUCUGCGCGUUGCUUCGAAUUAAACCACAUGCUCCACCGCUUGUGCGGGCCCCCGUCAAUUCCUUUGAGUUUCAGUCUUGCGACCGUACUCCCCAGGCGGAGUGCUUAAUGUGUUAGCUGCGGCACCGAGGCAAAGCCCCAACACCUAGUGAUCAUCGUUUAUGGCCAAGACUAC
rnacentral:misc_RNA from 1 species